AUGGCAGCAGCUGCGACGGCGGCGCCGCCGCCGGCGGUCGCCACCGCGCUGUCCGUGCUCCUCCGCCGCGGCGCGAGCCGAAGCCAUUUCCUCCGGGCCUCCCGCCCCAGGUGCGUCUCCUCGGACGCGGUCGCGGAGCCUGCGCUGGCGCGGAGGGGAGGCCACGCCGGGACCCGCCUGGAGGAGGCCGUGCCGGCCGCGGAGGGGCGGUCGCGGGUCGACGCGUGGAUCUCCGCGCGGCUGGGCGGCGGGGGCGUCAGCCGCGCCCGCGUGCAGGCCAGCAUCCGCGCCGGCCUCGUCGCCGUCAACGGCCGCCCCNNNNNNNNNGUUUCGCACACGGUGAAGGGAGGGGACAAGGUCAGCUGCACCGUGUCGGAGCUGCAGCCGCUGAGGGCAGAGGCGGAGGACAUUCCGCUGGACAUUGUUUACGAGGACGAGCAUCUUCUCGUCGUGAACAAACCGGCUCAUAUGGUUGUUCACCCAGCACCAGGGAAUGCAAAUGGCACCUUAGUCAAUGCUAUACUUCACCACUGCAAGAUUUCAACUUUUACCUGUUUAGCACGCAGUCCAAUUUAUGAUGAGUGCCCUGAAUCUUCAGAUGAUGAUGUUGACGUAUUUGAUGUUGACCAAUUUACUAUUGGUGAAGUAAGUUCAGAGGUCCGCGAAGCUAUUGUGCGCCCUGGUAUUGUGCAUAGGCUUGAUAAGGGCACAAGCGGACUUCUUGUUGUAGCUAAGGAUGAGCAUUCACAUGCUCAAUUAGCAGAGCAAUUCAAGCUGCAUACAAUAAGUAGGGUAUACAUCAGUCUUACUUGUGGUGUACCUAGCCCAAAUUCUGCCAGAAUUGAAGUUCCUAUAUCUCGUGAUCCUAACAACCGGACACGUAUGGUUGCUGCUCCUGGAUCAGGCCACAGAUAUGCAAAGCAUGCUGCUAGUAGGUAUAAAGUAAGAGAGGUCUUUUGUGGUGGUGGAUCUGCACUGGUAGAGUGGAGACUAGAAACAGGGCGCACUCACCAGAUCCGAGCACAUGCAAAAUAUCUAGGGAACCCCUUACUUGGUGAUGAAACAUAUGGAGGUACCAAAAGCAUGGCAUUGUCACUUUUGAGACCCAGAACUCCUUCAAAAUACCAUGGCGAUCUUUCAAAUCUGGUCUCGAAGAUAGACAGGCCAUGUCUCCAUGCUGCAUUGCUUGGAUUCAAGCAUCCUCAUUCAGGAGAGGCACUUGAAUUCUCAUGUCCCCCUCCAGAUGAUUUUACUGAGGUACUUGAUCAACUACGACGUGUUACACCGACGAGUGAUGGCCAAGAUAGCGACAGUGCUGCUCAAGUGUGA
rnacentral:rRNA from 1 species